GACGAACGCUGGCGGCGUGCUUAACACAUGCAAGUCGAACGGAAAGGCCCUGCAUUUGUGGGGUGCUCGAGUGGCGAACGGGUGAGUAACACGUGAGUAACCUGCCCUUGACUUUGGGAUAACUUCAGGAAACUGGGGCUAAUACCGGAUAGGAGCUCCUGCUGCAUGGUGGGGGUUGGAAAGUUUCGGCGGUUGGGGAUGGACUCGCGGCUUAUCAGCUUGUUGGUGGGGUAGUGGCUUACCAAGGCUUUGACGGGUAGCCGGCCUGAGAGGGUGACCGGGCACAUUGGGACUGAGAUACGGACCAGACUCCUACGGGAGGCAGCAGUGGGGAAUAUUGCACAAUGGGCGGAAGCCUGAUGCAGCAACGCCGCGUGCGGGAUGACGGCCUUCGGGUUGUAAACCGCUUUCGCCUGUGACGAAGCGUGAGUGACGGUAAUGGGUAAAGAAGCACCGGCUAACUACGUG
rnacentral:rRNA from 1 species